UUUAUUCUGCUCGUCCUUGUAUUAUAAAAUAUAACUGAAAGUAAUAAUAAAACUAUUAUUGAUUGAUUAAUCAUAAGCCUCCGCCCCUCACCCUAAGGUUCCAGAGCGGGUUACAAUGAAAGCAAAACAUUAAAUACAGUUUAAAACCAUUUAUGAAAAUUCUCUUCUGCAGGUCUCCUAGCCAAAAUUCCCGCGAGCUAAGAUGGCGGCGUCCGGGGCAACCUCAGCGCCAGCACCCACGAUGGCGGCAACUCCCGCUUCUCAAGAACAUCACUGAAGGGCCCGCCAAAGCAACAUGAGGCCUUCUUAAGUCAAGCUCAGCGCCAGCAUCCGAUAUGGCGGCGUUAGGAUUUAAGACUCGACAAGAGCUCGAGGCUAAUUUUCAGACAGGCAAUGGCAGCUUUCCACUUCCACAGAACUUUUGCCUCAGGCGAGCUUGAAAGCCACUUCACUCUAAUUUAAUUGCUAUUUAAUCGCAUUUAUUGUGUACCUUGCUGCUGCAUUAUUAACU